rnacentral:rRNA from 1 species
AACGAACGCUGGCGGCAGGCUUAACACAUGCAAGUCGAGCGCCCCGCAAGGGGAGCGGCAGACGGGUGAGUAACGCGUGGGAAUCUACCCAUCCCUACGGAAUAGCUCCGGGAAACUGGAAUUAAUACCGUAUACGCCCUACGGGGGAAAGAUUUAUCGGGGGUGGAUGAGCCCGCGUUGGAUUAGCUAGGUGGUGGGGUAAAGGCCUACCAAGGCGACGAUCCAUAGCUGGUCUGAGAGGAUGAUCAGCCACAUUGGGACUGAGACACGGCCCAAACUCCUACGGGAGGCAGCAGUGGGGAAUAUUGGACAAUGGGGGCAACCCUGAUCCGGCCAUGCCGCGUGAGUGAUGAAGGCCUUAGGGUUGUAAAGCUCUUUCACCGGGGAAGAUAAUGACGGUACCCGGAGAAGAAGCCCCGGCUAACUUCGUGCCAGCCGCCGCCGUAA